CUCACAGUCAGCCCUUCAUCA
rnacentral:siRNA from 1 species